GAUGAAGAACGUAGCGAAAUGCGAUAAGUAAUGUGAAUUGCAGAAUUCAGUGAAUCAUCGAAUCUUUGAACGCACAUUGCGCCCGCCAGUAUUCUGGCGGGCAUGCCUGUUCGAGCGUCAUUUCAACCAUCAAGCCCCCCGGCUUGUGUUGGGGACCUGCGGCUGCCGCAGGCCCUUAAAAGCAGUGGCGGGCUCGCUGUCACACCGAGCGUAGUAGAUCUCAUCUCGCUCAGGGCGUGCUGCGGGUUCCGGCCGUUAAACCACCUUCAUAACCCAAGGUUGACCUCGGAUCAGGUAGGAAGACCCGCUGAACUUAAGCAUAUCAAUAAGCGGAGGA
rnacentral:misc_RNA from 1 species